rnacentral:rRNA from 1 species
CGGUGGUCACAGCGGCAGGGAAACGCCCGGACCCAUCCCGAACCCGGAAGCUAAGCCAGCCAGCGCCGAUGGUACUG